AGAGUUUGAUCAUGGCUCAGAAUCAACGCUGGCGGCGUGCCUCAGACAUGCAAGUCGAACGAUUAAACUUUCCUUCGGGAAAGAUUAAAGUGGCGCACGGGUGAGUAACACGUAAGUAAUCUACCUUUGAGUGGGGAAUAACCCGGGGAAACCCGAGCUAAUACCGCAUAAUGCAGCGGCACCGCAAGGUGACAGUUGUUAAAGGAGCAAUCCGCUUAAAGAGGAGCUUGCGGCAGAUUAGCUAGUUGGUAAGGUAAUGGCUUACCAAGGCUACGAUCUGUAACCGGUCUAAGAGGACGGUCGGUCACACUGACACUGAAUAACGGGUCAGACUCCUACGGGAGGCAGCAGUCGGGAAUUUUGGGCAAUGGGCGAAAGCCUGACCCAGCAACGCCGCGUGAAGGAUGAAGUAUUUCGGUAUGUAAACUUCGAAAGAAUAGGAAGAAUAAAUGACGGUACUAUUUAUAAGGUCCGGCUAACUACGUGCCAGCAGCCGCGGUAAUACGUAGGGACCAAGCGUUGUUCGGAUUUACUGGGCGUAAAGGGCGCGUAGGCGGCUUGUCAAGUCACUUGUGAAAUCUCUGGGCUUAACCCAGAACGGCCAAGUGAAACUGACAUGCUAGAGUGUGGAAGGGGCAUCGGAUCUGGUGUAGCGGUGAAAUGCGUAGAUAUCAAGAGGAACACCUGAGUGAAGACGGGUUGCUGGGCCACAUGACCGCUUAGGCG
rnacentral:rRNA from 1 species